UGCGGUCCUCGGAUUCUGUUCCCGGACCACUCCUGGCUGAGGGUCGUGUCUAUUUCAAAGACUGCUCGGU
rnacentral:rRNA from 1 species